rnacentral:rRNA from 1 species
GGUCCUACGGGGGGCAGCAGUGAGGAAUAUUGGUCAAUGGGCGAGAGCCUGAACCAGCCAAGUCGUGUGAGGGAAGACGGCCCUACGGGUUGUAAACCUCUUUUGUCAGGGAGCAAGAACGGAUACGUGUAUCCGAGCGAGAGUACCUGAAGAAAAAGCAUCGGCUAACUCCGUGCCAGCAGCCGCGGUAAUACGGAGGAUGCGAGCGUUAUCCGGAUUUAUUGGGUUUAAAGGGAGCGUAAGUGGAUUGUUAAGUCAGUUGUGAAAGUUUGCGGCUCAACCGUAAAAUUGCAGUUGAAACUGGC